UGAAGCACCCCUUUCUUGCAAGGAUUAUUAUCAUUUCCAAUCGCACAGCCCCCUUGAUCUUCCUUUGUAUUAGUUUCGCAAGCGUCAAGCCUUUUUGAUGGGGGGCUAUUAUAAGUAAUCCAAACGUUAUUGUCAGGAUCCCGACCAAGCACUCCUUUCUUACGAGGAUUACAAUCAUUUCUGCAGACCUCACCCCCUUCAUCUUCACCCCCUAGCUCUUUUCCUUUGGACAUGGUUCAGAACCUUUCAAAAUCUUAAGUCUCAGGCAGGCAAGUCUUAAGUCCGUCAAGUCAAGAAGUAAAAGAAGGGACGGCUAUAGGAAGAGAAAUGAAAUCAUCAUCAAAACACAAGUCUCAAGAGGCUCAUUAACUGAGAACAACCCAAGAAUUUGGAGUCAAGGAAGAGAGAGAAAAUAUAUAUGUAAAUAUAUAUUAAGGAGAGUAGCCAUUAAGAGGCAGAGAAAGAUAGUGAAAGAGUUCAAUUUCAAAG
rnacentral:misc_RNA from 1 species